GUCGGGUACGGUGAUAUGGCGCCCAAAACGUACGUCGGGAUGUUUGUCGGAGCGCUGUGUGCGCUGGCCGGUGUGCUGACGAUCGCCCUACCGGUACCGGUGAUUGUCAGUAAU
rfam:Anopheles maculatus strain maculatus3 cont1.2291, whole genome shotgun sequence.